CCCUCUCUAUGCGCCAGGGACGACUCAAAAUGGCGUAGCUACUAACUCGCUCGUCUGGACGCCGAGAGGCAAAAGGCGGGCGCACUUAUUAUUAUUUUUUUUUUUUUUGUUCUGUUUUUUUGUGUCCCUUUCCCUUACCUCCCACAUGCUAGGCGAACGCUUUCCAGCUGCGGUGAUGUCUUCUCGACAUGUUUUUGUGGGGGAAGUGAGCGGUGGCCCGCGGACGCCGCUGGUGUCACCGUAAAAUACGAAGAAGUGGUCCGGCCAUUGUUAAGCUUCCCAACAUCUCCGCGGCGUCCUCAUCACCAGGACCAGGACCAGUCCAAGGAUGGAUCCUUCGGGAAGCGCAACUGAUCGACACCGGAGGAACUCGACCUGGACCGCCGAGUUUCCGAACAACCACGUUCAGCUGCAGCUGCGAUGAAGAAGAAGAAGAAGAAUCUUCCGGAAAGCACCCGAUGGGGGUCCAAGACUCCUUCAACAUCCUCUUGGGAAAACGACUGUCCAGGUUCUAAAACGACCAAACGUGCUUGGAAUUGAUCGAUUUACGCCAGUUUUAAAGUCAAGUGCAAAUGUGAAGAGAGUAAAGGAACCUCUUUCAUUGCAGAUGAAUAUUGCUCUGACUCCACAUUGGCCCAAAAAAUAUGAAUAUGAAUAAUAACCCCCACAGCACACGGUGUAAGACACGUGAAACUGUAGCAAGCGUGAUUUUCCGCAUCUUUUUUUUGCUACCUCAAAGCCAACACGAGACGAACGGGAAGCCAAAUCGUAGCGCAUCUUUUAGUUGAUUUGGAGAUGGUUACGUACUGUACAUACAUGUAUAAAUUUAUUUUCAAAACCGCUUUAAAAUAUGAUUUUUUUUUUGGCGGGCUAUGCGUGUGUUGUGAGAGAAAUCAUAUGAUUUUUUUUUUUUUAAAUCUUUCGAAAUAAGGGCACAAAAAUAGGAUCCCCAAGAUGUCCGUGUUCCCUUUUAAAAUAAGCAGUUAAAUACUUUAAAAUAUCGAAUUCAAUAUUAUCAAUGUUAUUAUUAAAAUAUGAUCAUGAAUUAAGUACAUUUUAAUUUGCUAUACCAAGUUCAGUAGAGUUAAAAAAAAUGGUAAUCAACUUUUGGUGUCGUAUACAUUUUGCUGUAUUUAUUAUGCUAAUUUUCAUUUUUUUAAUAAUUUGAGCGCUAUAAAUGGUAAAAAUGUUUGUGAUACAAAAAGGUCAAAUUACUUUGUCAUGAUCAUUAAAUCUAGAAUUUAAAGCACAUGUUGCCAAAUUUAUUUGAUAUAUUAUACUAAUAUAAUUAAAGCGUAAUGAAUAAAACUAUUUUGUUGUGCUUGCACAUACUGUGCUAAUUUUAAUAUUAAGUGAAAUGUUUUUAUCUUAUUUUUUACCAAUUUGAGUAUUCAUAUAGGACAGGGGUGUCAAACUCAUUUUUGUCACGGGGCUCAUUGUAGUUACGGUUUCCGAAACCAUCAUAUUUAUGAAAUUUAUUAACUCGUUUUGGACUCUUUUUCAACUAUUCUUCAUGUUUGGUAACACAAAAAUACAAUAUUAUUUAUGAUACAUGACCAUUCCAAAUUUUUUUGUAAAAAUCCUCACAAGAAUCAUGUAAAUUGACACAAACGAGCUGCCUUCGCGGGCCACGUAAAAUCCCGUGGCGGGCCAGAUCCGGCCCCUGGACCUCAAGUUUGACACCCGUGGUAUAGGAGAAAAAUUAUUUUGUGUCAUAAAAAGAUUCUGUUCUAAUUUUGGCACACAUGAAAAUCUUUUGGUAUCAAUGAAAUAAUUUGCUUGAAUUUGUUUUAUCAUAGUGAUAUUAGGUUAAUAAACGAGAGCGACGCGUAUGAAUAUGAGUACCGUAAUUUCCGGCCUGCGGAGCGGACCUGAUUUAUAAGCCUCACCCAGUACACGGUAUACAAAGUUUUCGUACCUUAGCUUAGCUUAACAUAGCAACAACACAGUAGGACGAACAGGGCCGGUUAAAAAAAAAGAAACAACAUACCUAAAACACUGAGACGUGGCAGUAACACAAUAGCGACAUGCUAACACUAGCGCUAACAGGGCCGGUUUAAAAAAAAAAAAAAAAAAAACAUACUUGUAAAAAUCACUGAGACACGCCAGUAACACACCAGCAACAUGCUAGCGCAGUGCUAACAGGGUCGCUUAAUAAAAAAAACAAUACCUAAAUCACUGAGACGCGGCAGUAUCACAGUAGCAACAUGCUAAUGCUGGUGCGGUGCUAACACUAGAGCGGCGCUAAUGCUAGUGCUAACAGGGCCGGUUAAAAAAAAAAAAGCAUACCCAAAUCACUGAGAUGCGGCAGUAACACAGUAGCAACACGCUAGCGGUAACAGGGCCGGUUAAAAAAAAAACAUCCUGGUAAAAAUCACUGAGACACGGCAGUACUGCAGCAGCAAAAUGCUAGCACACCGCUAACAGGGCCGGUAAAAAAAAAAAAAAAAAAAAACAUAUGGGUAAAAGUCACUUCCUCGGCUCAUAUAUUCCACCGGUCUCAUUCGUACCUUUUCCCCUUGAGGGCCCCUUGUGGCCAUUCGGGGGGGGGGGGGAAAUGCACAAAUUAGCCGCAGGGUCGAAAGCGUGUGGAAAAAAAGUCGCGGCUCGUAGGCCGGAAAUUACGGUCGUCAUUUUAGCAUCACAGAUGCAAUGAAAUAUGCCGGAACGUCGUCCUCCUUAUUCCGUCGCGUACAACAAAAGGACUUUGAUCGAGCGGGCGCCGUGCAAUAUCGCAAUCAAAACUUGUCACCUUGUUGACGGAUGCUGUGUGUUGUAUAUUAUUGUGGAAAAAUGAAAAACAAAACAAGUGACAACGUUGUUUGAAAAGCAACAAAAUCACCGACGUCUUCCAUUCGAGAGUUGUAUAGUCUCAUCUACUUCUUACCACGUUUAGACGCUCAUACCCGACUUCAAGUGUACUCGUCGUGUACUGCAUGAUUGCCUGCUUGAACACGGCACACCUAGAUGAAUAAUCUCCCUUAAAAAAAAAAAUAAUAAUAAUAAUAACUAAAGUGACACUUUUGGAUGCAUGAUUUAAGCAGUAUUUUUAACGAACGCGCUCGUGCAGCAAAUGAAGCUGAACGGGAUUUGAACUGUUUUCCCGUCGGAUUUGCAAGCCCCUUCGGUGGCGCUGUUGUACAUACGUGUAAUCCAGAAAAUUGUACGGGAUUAUUUAGAAUUUAGCAGCAAUAAAUGCAUGAUUUGGAGGGGGGGGGGGUUGUUUAGCUGCCUCCUGCAGCGUUUUUGUUUUUCGAUUUUAUUGUCAAGGAAUCUAACCCUCCUGUUUCGCUACGUUUCUCAGGAACAGCAACAUCGUUCGGGUCAAGUUGACCCGGGGGCGUCGGUGUCGGGGGGGGGGGGGGAAUACCGCAGUUCCCGGCCUGCAAUGCGCACCUGGUUACAAUGCUCGGUACACAGAAAGAGUUUAAGACUAUCACCGCGCUGGCGCUCGUGCAGUGCUAGUGUUAAUGUGGCACUAGUGUUAGCGCGGUGCUAACAUUAGCACAGCACUAGCGUUAGUUAAACUCUUUCUGUGUAGCGGGCUAGCGUUAGUGCGGUGCUAGUGUUAAUGCGGCGCUAGCGUUGGCACGGUGCUAACGUUAGUGCGGCACUAGAGUUAGUUAAACUCUUUCUGUGUAGCGGGCUAGCGUUAGCACAGCACUAGCGUUAAACUCUUUCCGUGUACAGAGCCUUUUAACCAGGUGCGCUAAUGCUAGCGCCGCAUCACCGCAGGGUUGAAAGCAUGUGAAAAAAGUCGCGGCUGUAGGCCGGUAAUUACAGUAUACCAAUAAACGGUGAUCAUUUCACUUCAGAUUUCAUUUUCAUACCAAAAAGCAAUUUUUUUUUUUUUUUUUUAAUAUUAGUUCUAAAGAAUUGCAAAUGGGUCAAUUUGAUCCGGUUCCUCCAGAAUCUCAUGUCCAGCCUACUUAAUGAUACAAAAUGUUACAGAGAAAAUCAUAAAAUAUUUCAUACGCUUAUUUUAUAUUUCUUUUAACAUUUAUCCUGUCAGGUCUGAUUUAUUACCCCAAAAAUUAUGCUGUUGUCGUUCCAAGAAACUACUUUACACUUUUCAAUCGUAAUUCUUUAACUUGCUUUGUUAGCCAGUGUCAGAAACGGUUGUGCUAAACAUUAACAUAUUUCAUAUCUAAAAAAAUAAUUUUCAAGUCUUUUCAAAUAUAUCUAUUCAACAUUUAAACGGGGUGAAUUUGACCCGCAAGGUAACAGGAGGGUUAAUUGUUUUUGUUUGUGUGUGUGUGGGUUCAAUAGACAAAAAUCUACUUAACUGUACAAUACCUGUAGCAUUUUUUUAAUACUAUUAUGCUUAAAAAAAAAAAAAAUCCAAACGUGUUUUCCAAGCACUUUCUGCCUUGCACUGUCAACAACUAUCCCGCGUUGAUGUAUGUACGACUACUUAUUAUUAUUACAAAAACAAAAAAAAUGAUGCAUGAUUUAUUUUUUUUAAUUAUUAUUCCCCACACACGCGAUUGUAAUGCAUGCAAUAAUCCGCGAGUUUGACCCCGUGUGCGGGGGAAUUUGAGACGGUAGCGAGCAUGUCGUCGCUUUUCCCCGACGUGUACAAACUAUGCACUCCGCAGCUAAGAGGAGGAAAACGGGCAUGCUUAUUAUUGUUAUUCAGUGCUUUUGUAUGACCAAGAAAAGAAAAAAAAUGUAUUUCUCAAACUCAGCAAUAUCAUAAUGAGGAUAAUAAAAUGCAGCAUGGUGCCAAUGACGA